UGGCUUAGAAACUAGGGCUGCUCAAUUAUGGGAAAAAAAUCAUGAUCACGAUUAUUUUGGUCAAUAUUGAAAUCAGGAUUAUUUAACACGAUUACUUAUUGACUUUUGGAAAGAUGUUGCAUUUAUUGAAUUUAAAAAAACAGUGAAACAGUUCAACAAAUCAACAGUGAAAACACCUUAAACUGUGAAAUUUCCCUUAAUAUUUUUCCCAUUUGAACUUUCUGAAUUCCAGCGUCUACCCCA